UGGGGAAUAUUGGACAAUGGGGGGAACCCUGAUCCAGCCAUGCCGCGUGUGUGAAGAAGGCCUUAUGGUUGUAAAGCACUUUAAGCGAGGAGGAGGCUCCUAUAGAUAAUACCUAUAGAGAGUGGACGUUACUCGCAGAAUAAGCACCGGCUAACUCUGUGCCAGCAGCCGCGGUAAUACAGAGGGUGCGAGCGUUAAUCGGAUUUACUGGGCGUAAAGCGUACGUAGGCGGCUUUUUAAGUCGGAUGUGAAAUCCCCGAGCUUAACUUGGGAAUUGCAUUCGAUACUGGGAAGCUAGAGUAUGGGAGAGGAUGGUAGAAUUCCAGGUGUAGCGGUGAAAUGCGUAGAGAUCUGGAGGAAUACCGAUGGCGAAGGCAGCCAUCUGGCCUAAUACUGACGCUGAGGUACGAAAGCAUGGGGAGCAAACAGG
rnacentral:rRNA from 1 species